CCUACGGGUGGCAGCAGUGAGGAAUAUUGGUCAAUGGACGAGAGCCUGAACCAGCGAAGUAGCGUGAAGGAUGAAUGUCCUAUGGGUUGUAAACUUCUUUUAUAAGGGAAUAAAUUGACACACGUGUGCCUUUUCGCAUGUACUUUAUGAAUAAGGAUAGGCUAACGCCGUGACAGCAGCCGCGGUAAUACGGAGGAUACGAGCGUUGUCCGGAUUUGUUGGGUUUAAAGGGAGCGGAGGGGGGUUUUUAAGUCAGUUGUGAAAGUUUGGGGCUUAACCGUAAAAUUGCAAGUGAUACUGGCAGUCGUGAGUAAGGUAGAGGUAGGCGGAAUUCGUGGUGUAGCGGUGAAAUGCUUAGAUAUCACGAAGAACCCCGAUUGCGAAGGCAGCUUACUAGGCUGUGACUGACGCUGAUGCACGAAAGUGUGGGGAUCAAACAGGAUUAGAUACCCGAGUAGUC
rnacentral:rRNA from 1 species